AACGGCCGCGGUAUUUUUGACCGUGCAAAGGUAGCAUAAUCAUUAGUCUUUUAAUAGGAGGCUGGUAUGAAGGGUUUGACGAGGAGUUGACUGUCUCAUUUGAUUUUGUUGUAGAAUUUAACUUUUCAGUUAAAAGGCUGAAAUUUCAUUGGAAGACGAGAAGACCCUAUAGAGUUUAAUAAUUAAUUUUAUAAUUAUGUAUAAUAUUUAAUAUAUGGGAUUAAUUAUUUUGUUGGGGUGACAAAAAUAUAUAAUUAACUUUUUUAUUUAUUUGUCAUUGAUAUAUGUAUUUAAGAUCCAAUCUUAUUGAUUGUUAGAAUAAGUUACCUUAGGGAUAACAGCGUAAUCUUUCUUUGGAGUUCUUAUUUAUAGAAAGGCUUGCGACCUCGAUGUUGGAUUAAGAUAACAGUUAGGUGUAGCCGCUUAAUGUGUAGGUCUGUUCGAC
rnacentral:rRNA from 1 species